UGUCUCGUGGUGUAACAGCAGCAUACCGGGUUUUGACCCCGAUGGUCUUGGUGCGAAUCCAAGCGAGGCAGCCA
rnacentral:tRNA from 1 species